GAUGACCGCUGGCGGCGUGCCUAAUACAUGCAAGUCGAGCGAAUGGAUUAAGAGCUUGCUCUUAUGAAGUUAGCGGCGGACGGGUGAGUAACACGUGGGUAACCUGCCCAUAAGACUGGGAUAACUCCGGGAAACCGGGGCUAAUACCGGAUAACAUUUUGAACCGCAUGGUUCGAAAUUGAAAGGCGGCUUCGGCUGUCACUUAUGGAUGGACCCGCGUCGCAUUAGCUAGUUGGUGAGGUAACGGCUCACCAAGGCAACGAUGCGUAGCCGACCUGGGAGGGUGAUCGGCCACACUGGGACUGAGACACGGCCCAGACUGCUACGGGAGGCAGCAGUAGGGAAUCUUCCGCAAUGGACGAAAGUCUGACGGAGCAACGCCGCGUGAGUGAUGAAGGCUUUCGGGUCGUAAAACUCUGUUGUUAGGGAAGAACAAGUGCUAGUUGAAUAAGCUGGCACCUUGACGGUACCUAACCAGAAAGCCACGGCUAACUACGUGCCAGCCGCCGCAGUAA
rnacentral:rRNA from 1 species